rnacentral:lncRNA from 1 species
UGUCACCACAUCACUUCUCACUGCACCUGGGUGGCAGCACACUGGACCACGUCUCAGAGCUGCGCAGCAUGGCAGGGCUGCAGGCGGGCUUGCUGCUCCACGUGGUGGAAGAGCCCUGCACAAUGCACAAGGCCCACGGUGAUGAGUGCCACAUUUGAGACUGCUCAGGAGCCUGGACCCAGCUGAUGCAGCUCCUUGUCCUUCCUGAGCGUCUUCACUGACAGUGGCCUGAGAGACGGCAGGAGCAGAAAGACUUGGAGAUGGACCCCACCGACUGCACACCACCCAAGUACAUCCUGCUAGGGACCCUGGAACAGCCACUGUGUCCCCUGCAACCCCAGAACGGUGACUAAAAGGUGGGACUCCAGGGAGGAGCAAGGAAGAGGGUCCCCGGGUGGGUGGAGGGCCACACACCAGGAGGCCUGGCCCAUUCAUGCUUGGCCAUUCCUGCAGCCCCUGAAAGUGCUCACCGUGAGCGGCUGGUACCUGUCCCCUGGGAACUGCAAGAUGCACAGGACCUUGUGUACCUGUUUGUGAUCACAGCCGAGGACCAGCGAGGUAGCAUUACCACAUCCACACAGG